UGGGGAAUCUUAGACAAUGGGCGCAAGCCUGAUCUAGCCAUGCCGCGUGAGUGAUGAAGGCCCUAGGGUCGUAAAGCUCUUUCGCCUGUGAAGAUAAUGACUGUAGCAGGUAAAGAAACCCCGGCUAACUCCGUGCCAGCAGCCGCGGUAAUACGGAGGGGGUUAGCGUUGUUCGGAAUUACUGGGCGUAAAGCGCGCGUAGGCGGACAAUUAAGUCAGGGGUGAAAUCCCGGGGCUCAACCCCGGAACUGCCUCUGAUACUGGUUGUCUUGAGUUCGAGAGAGGUGAGUGGAAUUCCGAGUGUAGAGGUGAAAUUCGUAGAUAUUCGGAGGAACACCAGUGGCGAAGGCGGCUCACUGGCUCGAUACUGACGCUGAGGUGCGAAAGUGUGGGGAGCAAACAGGAUUAGAUACCCCCGUAGUCC
rnacentral:rRNA from 1 species